rnacentral:rRNA from 1 species
AUUGAACGCUGGCGGCAUGCCUUACACAUGCAAGUCGAACGGCAGCACGGGUGCUUGCACCUGGUGGCGAGUGGCGAACGGGUGAGUAAUACAUCGGAACAUGUCCUGUAGUGGGGGAUAGCCCGGCGAAAGCCGGAUUAAUACCGCAUACGAUCUACGGAUGACAGCGGGGGACCUUCGGGCCUCGCGCUAUAGGGUUGGCCGAUGGCUGAUUAGCUAGUUGGUGGGGUAAAGGGCUACCAAGGCGACGAUCAGUAGCUGGUCUGAGAGGACGACCAGCCACACUGGGACUGAGACACGGCCCAGACUCCUACGGGAGGCAGCAGUGGGGAAUUUUGGACAAUGGGCGAAAGCCUGAUCCAGCAAUGCCGCGUGUGUGAAGAAGGCCUUCGGGUUGUAAAGCACUUUUGUCCGGAAAGAAAUCCUUGGCUCUAAUACAGUCGGGGGAUGACGGUACCGGAAGAAUAAGCACCGGCUAACUACGUG